rnacentral:lncRNA from 1 species
AUGGUUACUGUACUGACGGGAAGUCAGAAUUUGGAAGCCUUGAUCUGCUUUUCUGUUUACAGAACAAUCGUGGUCCUGCGGGAUUGCUUUGUGGUGGUGGAUGUACAGGGCGUGUUUAAAACCUCCCUUAAAAAGGGUUACGGUGGCUGCGUUUGGCUGCAGCUAGCACCUGGCACGCUCAGUCCCAUUGCUCGUGGGACUGCCCAGCACAAAGCUCCACAGCUGCAGAGAAUUAUUGGGGUCAAAUGUGUUCAGUACGGGACAUCCCUCGUGAUGCCCCACACAUGCAAGCACCGUGUGCUCAAGCUUCACUUUGCCUUGCUCUGCUUUCCUCAAAACCCCAGGUCUUCAUAUCAGAAUGAUUUUGUGGCCAUUUCUUUAAAUUAUUCGAAUAUGGAUAGCACUGGACCUAUUUCAGAAUAUUCAGUUCCAUUGUUUUCACACCCUUUUAUAUUUCAGGGGAAGUAGCUCUCUAUUUUAUCAAGUUGCCACUUAGAGUUGCAGUAGCUCUGUUGGCAGUCAUAAAAUAUUUUUAGCUGCCUAGUGUUUAAUUGUGCAACAAGGCACAAAUUGUGUACGUAUUGCACUGAAUUGUUGGUAUGAAUGAGUAUAACGCUUCUGCUUUUAGGGGCCAAUCCUAUUCAUGUUUUAUUGACUUUGCUGGGAGCAGAGUUGGGGUGCUAUGUUACACUUCAGCCAGAGAUGGUUUGGGUUUGGACUUGGGAUUGAUUUUUGAUUAUUUUUUUUUCCAUUUGUAAAGCAAUCAGGUUAAAAAAAAAUAGCAAUGGAUCCUUAAUGUUUUAAAAUCUCUGAUUCAUAUUCCAAUACAAGGUGGAUUUUAAGAAUUCAAGUUACUUUGUGGCCUGUGUAAAUAACUGGAGUCCUCUGAUGAUUCGACCUUACGGUUUCCCAGAAGAAAGGGGAUUUGGUCUUGCUUCAAAAACCAAAUGUUUUUCUGGUAACAUUUCAUACCUCUGCUUUUCUUCUGUAUCCACGGAGUCCCCAUGGCAGUUAAGUUAGUCUGGGAUUUACAUAAACCAAAACUGAAGAAGUUGGUAUUAGUUUGUCAUUACUUACUAGAACACCACACAAGGAGAUUGUUUUGCCGGGGCUUUUUGAGGAGCGUAUGUCAGGUUGUGUAGUUCCUAAGCCAGCCCUAUUGUUUUUUCUUCCCAGACUGACUCUUCUUCCUUGGUAUUGGUAUUUACCACUGCUGCUAACCUCUUUCCCUCCCUGCCUGGAUGUGUGUAAUUGGAAACAAUUUGCCUUACAGCUUAGGAACUGUUGCUCUGGGCUUCAUGAAGUCUUUGGAUUCCUGUUAAUGUUUCCCAGUGGUGUAGCAAACGCAUGGCAGAAGAUGUAGGUUGGUUGACCUGAAGGCUUUUUGAGGAACUUGCUGGCCUUUUGGCCUUCACUGUGUCUUCAGAGCAGUGUGGAAAUGCUCUAGACUGUAGUGGAAAGCUUCCUAGCCUUACUCCUAUGCACUUGUCCAGAAGUGACCAUGAGCACACUUUCCUGGGGCUGUUCGAUCUGCUGUCCAGGCCUUCUCAUGUUCAGUUUGGGGAAAUACAGAAGGAAAGGGGAGCCACAAGAAGGAAGGGAACACUGAGCCACUGGAAGCCUUCCUUCCAGAGGAGAAAAUCACUGCAUGGCUUAGCUUGAGACUUCCCUUGAGCUAUCUGGUUGUGGGUUGGUUUUUUAAGCAGCUAUUCCCCAAGUGAGAGCAUUCAGCUCUGCUCAGCAUGAUGUAUCUGGUAUCUGAUUUAUACGAAGUCAUAGCCCUAGCUUUAGGAUGUGGGAUUUUUUUUUGUUUGUUUAAUUGCUGUGAAGAUUAUGCAACUAACAAAGUAAAAUGUAUUUGUUUAAAAGUUACCUUCUUACCUUUUCUGAGAGCCGACUUUUUGUUUUAUUCUCUGUUUGGGAACUGUGAUGUCAAAAUGCUGCAUUUUGGAGCAACCCAAAGCAGUAGGGCUUUGAGUUUUUUGUUCUUUGUAUCUUUAUUGCUCUGAGAGUAUAUAUGAUAAAAUUUUAUUGCCAUGAUAUCCUAUAGAUUUUUUUUCUAAUAAUGUCAUUAAAAUGGAAAAAAAUGAGUUCGGGAUUAUUUAACUUUUCAGGAUAGUACAUUAUAUUGGACACGAAUAAGGUAUAUGGCACCUUGGUGAAUAUAUGAGAGCAGGUGACUUUGGAAUAUAUAUUUUUUAUUUUUUUAAGUGCAUUUGCAAUUAGGCUACUGAGGGGAUGGGUGCGGUCCUGCUUCCACUGUAGCCAGCAGCUUUAACAGAUUUUUGUCCUUAUCUGUCUUUGUCACUCUCCUGGCAUGGUAGCUCGAGUUAGGCAGGCUCUUUGUAAAUACAGCCUUAGUAGUUCACCUUGAACAUUUGAUAUUGAGAAACUCCGGAAGGAUGUGUUCCUGACCUUUUUGAUAAGGUUUCUCCCUCUGCUGACAAACUUGGGAUUAGCAGGGUUGGUUUGCUUUCUUUUAAAGCUGAGGAAUGUACCCACAGCUGAAGCUUCGGCUGGGUUGAAUUUGUGGGUUUCUGAGAAUUUUGCACCUUGUUUUAUCCCAACUCGCUUGGAUGGAAAAUAGAGCCUUAAGCAUACCAGGACCUUGAUUUAUUUCCUGUGCAGUUUAUUGGUCUCUGUCACCAGCACUUUUUUGUCUUGUGGAAUGUUCUAUACAAGUCUGGCACCUCCUCGUAGAUUGCUUUCUAAUUAAGAAAACAAAAAUCACUUUCCUGAUCGAUUUUAUCAGUUGCAUAAAAUGGAAGGUCGUUUAUUUUUCUUCGUUAGCAAUACUGAAAUCAAAGGUGCAAAAAAAAAAAAGAUGCAUUUAAUGUUUGUCUGUGCUGUUACAGAUUGGAAGUUUAUGGGGUUAGGAGCAACUUUUAAAAAAACUUGUGGAACUGGAGCUAUAAAUCCUCUCUGCUUGUUUGCCAAAUGAGCAUUAAAAAGGAAAUUAUUUGCAAAUAGCAUGUCAAAAGUUGGUUAGAAAGGAUAAACCAGAGUCAAUGUAAAGUCAUUGUCAGAUGAAAGUUGCUUUACAUUUUUUUACUGUAUAAAAUACAACCAGUUCAAAACUUGUUUAUGCACAGUAAUAACUUAAGGAGCGUAAUUUUUUCACAGAAUUAGGCUAUUUCUGAUAUGUGUGGGAAAAAUAAGUUUCCUUUUAUUUUUUAUGGCAGAUAUACAAAGAUUAAUAGUGUCUAUAUUUUAAUAUACUAUUUGGUGUCUGAAGUAUCUUUUACAUGCUUGUUGGUCAAACUCAUUUACUUAAAGUAGUAAAUUUUACACGGCUGGUGUUGUAUUACUGCAGGAGGGUUUUGUGAGUUGAUCCGUGUGAUAGACCCAACAGAAAUAUGUGAAAGUAUAAUUUAGCUUAAAAAAAAGGUCAAUUGUUGAUUAUAAAAGAUUUUAAUCGUUGGCCAAUUUUGGCUUAUUUAAGUAUUUCUGUAAAAACAACUGUGGAUGUUGAAUGAACGCUGCAGAAAUCUUACUUCUACCUCUUGUGUGAUGUUCUUAAAAUUAUACUUCACACAUCUCUUUGGGAUGUACUUUGACGUUACAGAAAGUUGGUACACCUGAACUUGUGAAUUUCAUGUGCUUUCUCCUUUUUUUUUUCCUGUUAGUAGUUUCACGUGGAACACCAGGAUGCCUUGUGGCUGAGGCUAGGUUCUGUUCACUCGUGUAAAGUAGCUUCAGGCAAGCUGUGCACAUUCACGCACCGUUUCUGUUGAGCAAAAGGUACCGCAGUCGAGAGAUGAGGUUUGUGUUACAUGUGUGAAAGUCUUGGAAAUAUGAGAAUUCUGUAAUAAAUCAUGGCCAGUGUAAUUUUCUAGUCUUUUU